GACGAACGCUGGCGGCGUGCUUAACACAUGCAAGUCGAACGGAAAGGCCCUGCUUUUGUGGGGUGCUCGAGUGGCGAACGGGUGAGUAACACGUGAGUAACCUGCCCUUGACUUUGGGAUAACUUCAGGAAACUGGGGCUAAUACCGGAUAUGAGCUCCUGCUGCAUGGUGGGGGUUGGAAAGUUUCGGCGGUUGGGGAUGGACUCGCGGCUUAUCAGCUUGUUGGUGGGGUAGUGGCUUACCAAGGCUUUGACGGGUAGCCGGCCUGAGAGGGUGACCGGCCACAUUGGGACUGCGAUACGGACCAGAAUCCUACGGGAGGCAGCAGUGGGGAAUAUUGCACAAUGGGCGGACGCCUGAUGCAGCAACGCCGCGUGCGGGAUGACGGCCUUCGGGUUGUAAACCGCUUUCGCCUGUGACGAAGCGUGAGUGACGGUAAUGGGUAAAGAAGCACCGGCUAACUACGUG
rnacentral:rRNA from 1 species